UACGAAGGGGGCGAGCGUUGUUCGGAAUUACUGGGCGUAAAGCGUGCGCAGGCGGUUCUGAAAGUCAGCUGUGAAAGCCCCGGGCUUAACCUGGGAAUUGCGGUUGAAACUACAGGGCUAGAAUCUGGCAGAGGGGGGUGGAAUUCCACGUGUAGCAGUGAAAUGCGUAGAGAUGUGGAGGAACACCGAUGGCGAAGGCAGCCCCCUGGGCUGAGAUUGACGCUCAGGCACGAAAGCGUGGGGAGCAAACAGG
rnacentral:rRNA from 1 species